AUGCACGCUGGCGGCGUGCCUAAUCCAUGCAAGUCGAGCGAACGGACGAGAAGCUUGCUUCUCUGAUGUUAGCGGCGGACGGGUGAGUAACACGUGGAUAACCUACCUAUAAGACUGGGAUAACUUCGGGAAACCGGAGCUAAUACCGGAUAAUAUUUUGAACCGCAUGGUUCAAAAGUGAAAGACGGUCUUGCUGUCACUUAUAGAUGGAUCCGCGCUGCAUUAGCUAGUUGGUAAGGUAACGGCUUACCAAGGCAACGAUGCAUAGCCGACCUGAGAGGGUGAUCGGCCACACUGGAACUGAGACACGGUCCAGACUCCUACGGGAGGCAGCAGUAGGGAAUCUUCCGCAAUGGGCGAAAGCCUGACGGAGCAACGCCGCGUGAGUGAUGAAGGUCUUCGGAUCGUAAAACUCUGUUAUUAGGGAAGAACAUAUGUGUAAGUAACUGUGCACAUCUUGACGGUACCUAAUCAGAAAGCCACGGCUAACUACGU
rnacentral:rRNA from 1 species